CCUACGGGCGGCAGCAGUGGGGAAUAUUGGACAAUGGGCGAAAGCCUGAUCCAGCCAUGCCGCGUGUGUGAAGAAGGCCUUCGGGUUGUAAAGCACUUUCAGUGGGGAAGAAAGCCUUGGGGCUAAUACCCUCGAGGAAGGACAUCACCCACAGAAGAAGCACCGGCUAACUCCGUGCCAGCAGCCGCGGUAAUACGGAGGGUGCGAGCGUUAAUCGGAAUUACUGGGCGUAAAGCGCGCGUAGGCGGUCUGAUAAGCCGGUUGUGAAAGCCCCGGGCUCAACCUGGGAACGGCAUCCGGAACUGUCAGGCUAGAGUUCAGGAGAGGAAGGUAGAAUUCCCGGUGUAGCGGUGAAAUGCGUAGAGAUCGGGAGGAAUACCAGUGGCGAAGGCGGCCUUCUGGACUGACACUGACGCUGAGGUGCGAAAGCGUGGGUAGCAAACAGGAUUAGAUACCCGAGUAGUC
rnacentral:rRNA from 1 species